rnacentral:rRNA from 1 species
ACGAACGCUGGCGGCGCGCCUAACACAUGCAAGUCGAACGAGAGAUGAGGAGCUUGCUCUUCAAAUCGAGUGGCGAACGGGUGAGUAACGCGUGAGGAACCUGCCUCAAAGAGGGGGACAACAGUUGGAAACGACUGCUAAUACCGCAUAAGCCCACGGCUCGGCAUCGAGCAGAGGGAAAAGGAGCAAUCCGCUUUGAGAUGGCCUCGCGUCCGAUUAGCUAGUUGGUGAGGUAACGGCCCACCAAGGCAACGAUCGGUAGCCGGACUGAGAGGUUGAACGGCCACAUUGGGACUGAGACACGGCCCAGACUCCUACGGGAGGCAGCAGUGGGGAAUAUUGCACAAUGGGGGAAACCCUGAUGCAGCGACGCCGCGUGGAGGAAGAAGGUCUUCGGAUUGUAAACUCCUGUUGUUGAGGAAGAUAAUGACGGUACUCAACAAGGAAGUGACGGCUAACUACGUGCCAGCAGCCGCGGUAAAACGUAGGUCACAAGCGUUGUCCGGAAUUACUGGGUGUAAAGGGAGCGCAGGCGGGAGAACAAGUUGGAAGUGAAAUCCAUGGGCUCAACCCAUGAACUGCUUUCAAAACUGUUUUUCUUGAGUAGUGCAGAGGUAGGCGGAAUUCCCGGUGUAGCGGUGGAAUGCGUAGAUAUCGGGAGGAACACCAGUGGCGAAGGCGGCCUACUGGGCACCAACUGACGCUGAGGCUCGAAAGUGUGGGUAGCAAACAGGAUUAGAUACCCUGGUAGUCCACACCGUAAACGAUGAUUACUAGGUGUUGGAGGAUUGACCCCUUCAGUGCCGCAGUUAACACAAUAAGUAAUCCACCUGGGGAGUACGACCGCAAGGUUGAAACUCAAAGGAAUUGACGGGGGCCCGCACAAGCAGUGGAGUAUGUGGUUUAAUUCGACGCAACGCGAAGAACCUUACCAGGUCUUGACAUCGAUCUAAAGGCUCCAGAGAUGGAGAGAUAGCUAUAGAGAAGACAGGUGGUGCAUGGUUGUCGUCAGCUCGUGUCGUGAGAUGUUGGGUUAAGUCCCGCAACGAGCGCAACCCUUAUGGUCAGUUACUACGCAAGAGGACUCUGGCCAGACUGCCGUUGACAAAACGGAGGAAGGUGGGGAUGACGUCAAAUCAUCAUGCCCUUUAUGACUUGGGCUACACACGUACUACAAUGGCGUUAAACAAAGAGAAGCAAGACCGCGAGGUGGAGCAAAACUCAGAAACAACGUCCCAGUUCGGACUGCAGGCUGCAACUCGCCUGCACGAAGUCGGAAUUGCUAGUAAUCGUGGAUCAGCAUGCCACGGUGAAUACGUUCCCGGGCCUUGUACACACCGCCCGUCACACCAUGAGAGUUGGGGAUACCCGAAGCCUGUGAGCCAACAGUUUACUGAGGCAGCAGUCGAAGGUAGAAUCAAUGAUUGGGGUG